UGGGAUUCCUGGCCCCUUGGAACGCAGGCUGGGUCAUAUCAACCUGCAGACACCAUGAGCCUGGAAGGACCACCUUGCAGGAGGGCCAGGGAGGGAGGCCAGCUGCAGAGCAGCCCUGCUGUGGCCCCUGGAGUCUGGAUGAGUCCUGCUGUAGGAGCCUGGUGUCACAGGGCGCUCCUCCUCCUGAGCAGAGCCCAGCAUGCCUGUCCCCGCUGGAAAGGGAAGCGUCUGACUCUGCAGGCAGGUUUGGUGGUCCAGGGACAAGCCAGGGGUGAGUGGCAGGAUGCCCACAUGGGCACAGGCAUCAGGCAAGGGGGCAGCUCCUCCUGGGCAGCACACGCCCACCUCGUCCACCUGGCUGCCAGCUGUGAGCGGUGGAGGACGCUCUGGAGCGUGUCUGCUCAGCUUUCUCUGAUAAGCGGAGGUUGCAGAGGUGGAGGUUGGAGAGCGGAGGGUGGAGUCCUCACUGCAGGGGCUGAGGACUGAGCUUACGGCAUCAUGUUCCCAGGAGGGCAGGAGAGCAGGGCAGCCCUGCCGACGGGUCUGGGCUUCUUGGAUCAGGGACCUGGGUCCCAGCACGGCAGGAAUGCUCCACUGUGGCGGGAGGGCCAUUUGGGCUGGGUGGCUCUGGGUGGGGAGAGCCUGUCCUCUGCCUAUGGGUGUGCAGGAGUGUCCCUGCUUGGGAGGGACAACGCCCUCCCCCACACCCUGACCUCUAGAUACUGCUGCAUGACCUCCCAGCAGUCUCUGCCAGGUGAGGACCCGCGUGGGGCUGGGGCCUGCAGAUGGCCCUUCUGUUCACACUGAACCCUACACCUGGUGAUAGGCAGCCAGGGGCUAUAGGGAGCAGGGCGCUGGGGUUCAUUCCUGCCGGGUGGGAAGCAGCAGAAGCAGGGCGUGGCCCUGACGGAGCCGGCUGAGUCCAUCCUGAAGGUAUGAAGCAUGAGGUUUUCCAGGGAGGGGACACGGCUGGCGUUCAGAUAAUCCUCCAUCGCCAUCGGCUGAGGCAUAGGCCUCUGUGUUGAGUCCUACGUCUCCUUCCCACCCAGGGGGAGGUGAGGGCCACCCCCAGGACUGAGAGCGUGCUCAGGGCCCAGGCCCGGGAAAGAGGACGUGUGGCCGAUCUGCCUUCACCAAGGCUGAGGGAGGACCCCUGCUGCUGCUCACAGUGGCUACCACAGACUCCUUCGCUUGGGGCUGCGUCUGAGCGUUCCAGGAGCGAGCUGAGGUAGCCUUACCUCUUUUCCCUCUAUUAGCCAGAGCCGUCCCUCAGGGUACCUCCUGGGCUGUCCAGGGCCCUCUCAGUGGGCAGAUGGCCGGCCAGCAGAGAUGGGUGUCCAGACACCAUGGAGCACCAUGGAGAGACAUAUCUCAGGCCACGGGAAGAGUGGACAUGGGCAACUGUGCUGGCCACCUCAGGCCAGCCAGGCAGGACCCUCCCCAUCUCUCCCACCACCUCGGGAAGGUGGUUGGCCCGGGCAAGGAGGAUCAGCCUCCACAGCGGGCAAGAGUGAAGCCGACAGUCCCUCAAGGGACUCCCACCACAUCCCAACGUCGCACUCGAGAAGAAACCUCAACAGAGUCAAGGCCAGCUGCAUCCCAGUCGGGAGUCCCCAGGACAGUGCCCUGGCCCAGCAGUCGGAGGAGGCCCUUACCAACUGUGGACAGGCAGGGCCCCCAGGGGCAGCGAGGGCUUCCAGACUCCAGGACACCGUGUGGGUAUGUGGGUGACAGCCAGCAACCCCACGGGACCAGGGGUUGGGGGAACCCGCAGAGGCCGGGAGCCAGAGGAGCUUCUCUGUUUCCUCCACUUGAAAGCUAAGAGGAGGGAAGUUCCCAUUUUUCCAUUUGUCUGUUGGAGGGGGAGCCCCUUUCUCCCAAGACCGUGGUGAAGUACACAUGAAUCGUGGACACCGACACUCAGUGAAGGGCUCGAUGACUCUUCUGCAUGGACUUUAUCCUUGAUUCUGAUUAAGGGUCUUCAUCCUCGGUGACGGCAGGAGCCCUGUGAGUGUGGGGCUGCAGCCCAGCAUCGCGCCUAGCACCUCUCUGGGGGCACGGUCCUGGGAAGCAGGCAACAAUUCCGUGUGAGAGACACCCCCAGCGGCGAGCGUCUGUCCUUGGGAGCCUUUGGAAACCACGAGUUGUGUAAGUGUCAAGAAAAUAGUAUCCCAUCACAUUAAAAUUAUGGCGAUUUUCUUUGCAUAAAAAUGUAAGAAUUCAAUUUUCCUAUAGAAAAAGGGGCCUGAUGUUCUUUCUUUCCUGUGGGACCCACGUGGAGUUGGG
rnacentral:lncRNA from 1 species